AGAUGAAUUGAUUUGUUGAUUUUAACCGGAGAUCGUCCGUGUAUAACAGGAUGUUGCGGAACAGGCUUCUCUUUAAUCUGUCAAAUUCGCGUUAUCAACUUCCCAUCCUCCAACCCACCUUCCAUCUUCCCAACCUCCAACCCACCUUUCAUCUUCCCAACCUCCAACUCACCUUUCAUCUUCCCAACCUUCAGUCCUCUUCUUCUCUUUCUUAUACUACGGUUCCGGGAUACCUACUUCCUGGGAAUCUGAACUGCUCUUCUGCUGUCAGAUUUAGCACUGCAACAGCUAACACAGCUGCUGCAACAGCUGAUACAGAUGCUCUAUCAACACAGAUAGAUGUCAGCAUUGUGGACGGUCUCCCUCAGAUAAUUGUUCCUCUACCCUCUCGUAACGAGAAGUGUGUUUUCUCACUGAAACCAGUUUUGAACAAUGUCGGGGAUUUUAUCGAGAUGUUGAAAUUCGAGGAUCGAGGGAUCGACACGAUCUUCAUCAAGAACUCCGACGGGAUCAGAAUUGCGGCUAAAACUUCAAUUCAGAGAUUAUUUGAUCAGGAGUUUGAACUACACAUCAACGACACUGUUCAUCGUGUUGUACCUCCUAAACUAGCGACCUUGAGCUCUGAUGAGCUGAAGAAGAUCUCAGACGUGAAGUUUUUGAUUAGCGAGCUGUACGAGGCUCUCAACAUACAGGACUUUCACGUGGAGAAGGAAGCUCAGCUUAUCAAGGAUCUUGAGACAAUGAAGAAUGAACUGAAACCUCUUGAAGAUCAGAAGCUUGAACUCCAAGAUUGGGCAGAGAGAAGAACUAGCUUCUUUACAUGGGUUGGAUUAGGUAUGAUGUCCGUACAGUUUGGUGUACUGGCCCGCCUCACCUGGUGGGAGUACAGCUGGGAUAUAAUGGAACCUGUUACGUACUUUGUGACCUAUGGAACCGCCAUCAUUGCUUACUCUUACUUUGUGCUCACAAAGCAAGAGUACUUGUACAACGAUGUCGCGAAACGAACCUGGCUGAUGAGCUUCCAUAAGAAGGCUGACAAACACCGUUGGGACGUUAAUAAAUACAACUCACUUAAAAAGGGAAUUAUGAAUGCUGAGGCAGAUCUCCGAAGACUCCGAGCUCCAAUUCAAACUCUGAAAAGGUAUAAAUCAGGUAUGAAUUAGCCGAUAAGAAAUUCAGAAGAUAAGGAAUCCAAUUCUUGGACAGGAUGGCAAAUCUUCAGGAAUCUUCGGUAUUCAAAAUCUGAAGGAUGUACUGAAUAAACUCCAGUGACGUCAUUA
rnacentral:misc_RNA from 1 species